AGCAGAGCAGAUGCCAAGUGAUCUUCUCCACAGCACCCAUGAACUUCAGCCUUGAACUGAAGAGGACUCAUCAAAUGUCUUAGGAGAGACAUCAUGGAAUUGGAAGAGAAGCAGGAAUCUCCAUGAAGCGCAGUCAACUACAGUCUUGGUGUGUGGAGGAACAGGUCCUGUUCUCGCUGUUGUUACUCCCACAUAGGCGGACUCUGUAAUUGAUUAUGUGUGGGUAGGGCCUUAUUGAAAUUCAGGAGAUGCUGCAGUAGUGCAGGGUUCUGGUUGUGAAAGUUCAGUUGCAAGAUCAGGACCCUACUGUGACUCCUUACUGUGAAUUCUGUCAGUGUAUCAUUGAUUGUGCUGGAACCUGCCUUUUGGGAUAAUGUAAGUCCUGCUUUUCUCCCAAAUGUACUUUAGACAUGAAAUAAUCAUAAAACAUUUCUAAUUAGAAAAUUAAUAUCAUUUACAUGCAUUCUUUUAAUUAUGUUUUUUUGGCAGUACCAAAUAAUAUAUUCCUCAAAACUUCUUAAUGGCACUGAGGCUUUGUGGAUAGUUGGUCACAUGAUGAGAAAAUUCAGCUGUAAGUACAUUGAAAUGAUUGAAUUUUUCAAUAGUUAGUUUUUGCUGAUGUUGACAGACUAAUAAUGAUAAAAAGGUGAAUCAAGAGGUGUGACUUAUGACUUCAAUUAUUCUUAUAAAAAUCAU